UCUCUUCUCCCAUUUGAGAAUUCUUAAGGAAUUCUAUUUGUUUGUAAUAUUUUGGAGAUAGUAAAGUUAUCAUCUGGUGUUAGUGCCCGAGGACGUAGGUAUAAUUUACCGAACCUCGUUAAAACUCUUGUGUUCUUUUUUGUCCUAUUUUUCUUUCAAUAUUUGAGGGUAUAAUAGUAGUAUUUAAUUGUGCUAUUAAAUUACUAUAGAAGGGAUAUUCUGACUAAGGAAAGACUUGGUAUUUAAGAGAUCAUUGUGAUCCACCUCUCUUCCCUGGGAAUUGAACUUUGUGUGAUUUUUUAGUACAAUAAUUUACACGCUUCCGACCCUAUUGGAACAACAAGUGGUAUCAAGAGCCGAAGGUUAAUCGUAGUAUGCUCUGUGGUUGCAGUUUAAACUGAUCUUCCACAUCAGAAAAGAUUUCCUUAGGUAUAUUGAAAGAUUAUGGAGAAAACGGUCGGUGUAGGAGCUUCAACAUCGUCCAUAUGGACAAGACCGACAAUUGCAAAUGCAAGAUUGGCCGUGGAGAUCUUUGAUGGCAUAGGCCAUUUUGGUAUGUGGCAAAGUGAGGUUUUAGAUGCCCUUUUUCAGCAAGGUUUAGACAUUGCCAUUGAUGAAGAGAAACCAGAUGAUGUACAGGAGAAAGAUUGGAAGGCGAUCAAUCAGUUGGCAUGUGGCACAAUUCGAUCAUGCCUUUCUCGAGAGCAGAGGUAUGCUUUUUCAAAGGAGACUUCUGCAAAUAAGUUGUGGGUGGCACUUGAAGAAAAUUUUUUGAAUAAAAACAGUCAAAAUAAGCUCCACUUGAAAAAAAGACUGUUUCGCUUCACUUACGUCCCAAGUACCACAAUGAAUGAUCACAUCACCAAAUUUAAUCAGUUAGUCACUGAUUUGCUAAAUAUGGAUGAGACAUUCAAAAAUGAAGAUUUGGCUUUGAUGCUGUUGGGGUCACUUCCUGAGGAGUUUGAGUUCCUAGAAACUACUCUACUUCAUGGCAGGAGUGAUAUAUCUCUGAGCAAAGUCUGUGCGGCCUUAUACAGUUAUGAACAGAGAAAGAAUGACAAACAGAAAAACUCAAUCAGAGAUACAGAAGCUUUAGUAGUCCGAGGUCGUUCAUACACUCGGAAGAAAACUCAGAAGGGGAGAUCAAAGUCAAAGUCCAGACUCGGGAAAGAUGAAUGUGCCUUUUGUCAUGAGAAAGGCCACUGGAAGAAAAAUUGUCCAAAGCUGAAGAAUAAGGGAAAAGCUGCUGUAGAUGCUUGUGUUGUAAAGUAUGAUACUUGUGACUCUGAACUAUCACUGGUUGCAUCAUCAUCGUCGUUCCAUUCAGAUGAGUGGAUAUUGGAUUCGGGUUGUACCUAUCAUAUGUCCCCUAACUGGGAGUGGUUCUUUGAUUUAGUUGAGCUAAAUGGAGGAGUUGUUUAUAUGGGCAAUGACAAUGCCUGUAAAACUGUUGGGAUAGGUUCAAUCCAAUUAAAGAAUCAAGAUGGAUCAACUAGAGUUCUGACUGAUGUUCGGUACGUGCCCAGUUUGAAGAAAAAUCUCAUCUCAUUGAGAGCCUUGGAAUCCAAUGGUUCAGUUGUUACUAUGAGAGAUGGGGUUCUGAAAGUGACAUCUGGCGCACUUGUGAUAUUGAAGGGCAUCAGGAAAAAUAACUUGUAUUACUACCAAUGUAGUACAAUUAUUGGAGCAGUCACUGCAGCUUCCGGUAACAAAGAAUUGGACUCAAUGCAGUUGUGGCAUAUGAAGUUGGGACAUGCCAGCGAAAAAUCCUUGCAAAUUCUAGCAAAGCAAGGAUUUUUGAAAGGUGCAAAGGCUUGCAAAUUAAAAUUUUGUGAGCAUUGUGUUCUGGGAAAGCAAAAGAGAGUGAAAUUCGGCACUACUAUCCAUAAUACAAAAGGUAUUUUGGAAUAUGUUCACUCAGAUGUGUGAAGGCCUUCCAAAACACCUUCGUUGGGAGGAAAACACUACUUUGUUACUUUUGUUGAUGACUUUUCCAGAAGAGUUUGGGUGUAUACCAUGAAAACUAAGGAUGAAGUGCUUGGAGUUUUUCUUAAAUGGAAAACUAUGAUCGAAAACCAGACUGGCAAGAAAAUCAAGCGGCUUAGGACGGACAAUGGAGGGGAAUAUAGAAGUGAUCCGUUCUUCGAUGUAUGCCAAGAGUAUGGUAUUGUUCAACACUUCACAAUUAGGGAUACACCGCAACAGAAUGGAGUGGCAGAGCGUAUGAAUCGAACAUUGCUAGAGAAAGUUCGAUGUAUGUUAUCCAAUGCUGGGUUGGGCAAGCAAUUUUGGGCUGAGGCUGUGACAUACGCUGGCCAUCUUGUUAAUCGUUUGCCAUCAUCUGCAUUAGAAAGAAAAAUUCCUAUGGAGGUAUGGUCUGGAAAACCGGCUACAGAUUAUGAUUCCUUACAUGUGUUUGGAUCCACUGCAUAUUACCAUGUGAAGGAGUCAAAGUUAGAUCCGAGGGCAAAGAAAGCUCUCUUUAUGGGAAUCACUUCUGGAGUGAAGGGAUUUCGUCUUUGGUGCUUAGACACAAAGAAAAUGAUCUGUAGCAGAGAUGUUACCUUUGAUGAAUCUGCCACAUUGAAAAAGGUAGCAGGUAAAGAUAUUCAGACGAGCGAUACUCCACAGCAGGUGGAGUGUACUCCAAAACAGGUGGAGUUUGAGCAGAUGGGGAUUUGCCCUGUUAAUAAGUCUAAUUCUCCAGCCACAAUGGAGGAAUUAGAGGUUGAAGAGGUUCUGACCCAAGAACCGUUAAGGACACCAGAACCAGUUGCAGUUGCAAGGCCACGGAGAGAAAUUCGUAGACCUGCUCGAUUUACUGAUAUGGUGGCCUACGCCCUUCCCGUUGUUGAUGAUGAUAUUCCUAUCACUUAUCAAGAAGCAAUGCAAAGCUUAGAAAGUGAUAAAUGGAAAAACGCCAUGGAUGAAGAAAUGCAGUCUCUCCGGAAGAACAAUACUUGGGAGUUGGCGCAAUUACCGAAAGGUAAAAGGGAAAUCGGAUGCAAGUGGGUAUUCGCAAAGAAAGAUGGAUCUCCUAGCAAGAAAGAUAUUCGCUACAAGGCAAGAUUGGUAGCUAAAGGCUACGCUCAGAAGGAGGGAAUUGACUACAAUGAUGUAUUUUCCCCUGUUGUGAAGCAUUCCUCCAUUAGAAUUUUGUUGGCCUUGGUAGCACAGUUGAAUUUGGAGCUAGCUCAACUUGAUGUUAAGACGGCUUUCUUGCAUGGUGAGUUAGAAGAGGAGAUCUAUAUGACUCAGCCCGAAGGAUACACAAAUGCUGGUGGUAGAAAUUGGGUUUGUAAGCUGAACAAAUCGUUAUAUGGAUUGAAGUAAUCCUCGAGGCAAUGGUACAAGCGAUUUGAUAGCUUUAUGAAAAGGCAGAAGUACACAAGAAGCAAAUAUGACAAUUGUGUGUAUUUGCAGAAGCUGCAUGACGGAUCUUUCAUUUAUCUACUCUUGUAUGUUGAUGAUAUGUUUAUCGCUUCGAAGAGCCAAAAGGAGAUAGAUAAGCUGAAGGCUCAGUUGAAUCAAAAGUUCGAGAUGAAAGAUCUAGGUGAGGCCAAGAAGAUUCUCGGCAUGGAGAUAAGUAGAGAUAGACAGAGAGGCAAGCUUUGUUUAAAUCAGAAGCAAUAUCUGAAAAAUGUAUUACAAUGUUUUGGUGUAAAUGAAAACACAAAACAUGUAAGUACCCCACUUGCUUCUCAUUUGAAACUCAGUGCUCAAUUAUCUCCGAAGACUGAAGAUGAAAGAGAAUAUUUGGCGAAAGUCCCAUAUGCUAAUGCAGUUAGGAGUUUGAUGUAUGUGAUGGUGUGUACGCGGCCUGACAUUUCACAAGCUGUUGGAGUUGUGAGCAGGUAUAUGCAUGAUCCUGGAAAAGGACAUUGGCAAGCUGUGAAAUGGAUUCUACGGUAUCUUCGAAAAACCGUAGACGUUGGUUUAAUUUUUGAGCAGGAUGAGCACUUGGUCAGUUUGUAGUUGGAUAUGUUGAUUCCGACUUUGCUGGUGAUUUAGAUAAACGUUGUUCAACUACGAGGUAUCUGUUUACUCUUGCAAAAGCCCCAGUGAGUUGGAAGUCUACCUUACAGUAUACAGUAGUUGUGUCUACUACAGAAGCGGAAUAUAUGGCAAUUACAGAAACUGUUAAGGAGGCUAUUUGGCUUAAUGGAUUGUUGAAAGACUUGGGAGUUGUUCAAAGUCACAUUAAUCUAUAUUGUGACAGUCAGAGCGCUAUUCAUUUAGCGAAAAAUCAAGUCUAUCAUUCAAGAACCAAGCAUAUCGACGUAAGAUAUCACUUUGUGCGGGAAGUCUUUGAAAAAGGAAAAAUUCUACUUCAGAAGAUUCCGACCGCAGAUAAUCCCGCAGAUAUGAUGACCAAGGUGGUAACAACAAUCAAGUUUAAUCAUUGUUUGAACUUGAUUAACAUCCUAAAAAUUUGAGCACCUUCAGGUGUAUGGCGCUCGAGAGCGCAUUUGGAGGCACUACAAAAGAUAGCUUUAUCGAAUUUGGGGAGUUGAAGGAAGUAUGUGAAGAUGUGAUUAUCCUAAUCAAAUCUUCAAGGUGGAGAUUGUUGAAAAGUCAAUUAAAGGGUGAGUUGGAAAGUCAAAAAUGGGAGGUGCAAGUGGCACCGAAAGGAAAAAUGGUAGGCAAGUUGUUUAAAAUUGAAUGGGAUAAUUGCAAUUUUGGUCCCUAAUUUUUUAGGUCAUUUGCAAGUUAGUCCCUGAACCUCAACUAUAAAUAGGCCUAACCAUUUCUCAUUUCAACCAUCCCAACCAAUCUUUCUUUCUUAGUUUUCUCUCUUCUCCCAUUUGAGAAUUCUUAAGGAAUUCUAUUUGUUUGUAAUAUUUUGGAGAUAGUAAAGUUAUCAUCUGGUGUUAGUGCCCGAGGACGUAGGUAUAAUUUACCGAACCUCGUUAAAACUCUUGUGUUCUUUUUUGUCCUAUUUUUCUUUCAAUAUUUGAGGGUAUAAUAGUAGUAUUUAAUUGUGCUAUUAAAUUACUAUAGAAGGGAUAUUCUGACUAAGGAAAGACUAGGUAUUUAAGAGAUCCUUGUGAUCCACCUCUCUUCCCUGGGAAUUGAACUUUGUGUGAUUUUUUAGUACAAUAAUUUACACGCUUCCGACCCUAUUGGAACAACAGUUUUUUCACAGUGGAAUUUCAUUUCUAGCCCUUCACCCAAUUCAUGGUCGCUUUGCAAUAAAACUGAAGUUUCAGUAGUUAGAAUGAGAUGCAGGAGAUGAAGAAAGCAAAGACCGUGUUGGAGAUUGUGGUCAACAUGGCAAUUCCAACACGGCAAAAUAAAGGAAGUUUGGUGCUUAUAUUUAUGCUUAACAUAUUAUUUGGUAUCCGAAUUUGAUAUUUUAUUUUAAUUGAAUUUGAUAUUUAUAUUUAAAAAAUUUUUAUUUUAUUUUAAUUAAAUUUGAUAUUUAUAUUUAAUAAAAGUUUAUAUACUCUGAUAUCUAAAGAUAAUGGUGCUACUUUUUUUAGUAUUUAACUUAGGUUUUAGCGUUAAUUUGAUGAAAAUUAAUUGCUAAUAUUAUUAGUUAGUUUAUGAAUUUUUAUCAAAUCAAUAUUAAAACUCGAAUUAAACACUAAAAAAUUAACUCUGUUAUUAGAUAUCAAAUUAGAUUAAAAAAACACAUAUAUCAUAUUAAAAAAAGGUCUAACUCAGAUACCAAAUUAUAUGUUAAACUUAAUAUAAAAUUAUAUAGUAUUAGUUGAUGAAAUAUAAAGUAAUAUGGAAAAAUGAGGAAAAAAAAGAGAAGGUGAUAGUGUUUUUCCACAAAAUCAACACAGAAAAUACAUCUCUACUUCCUGGAAGCUGUAAGUUGGAGUUGGCAAAUUUCUUGGUAAAUCGGGGAGAUGUUUUCCAUUAGUAGGACAAUAUUAUAAGUACGUCAUUAACACGUUUAAGCACUAUUGUAUUUAGAUGCUGAUUUGAAGAUACCACAAUUACUUUCUUUAAUGAAUUUUAUCUACAUUACCUUUCAUAUUUUUCUGCUUUCUUUUUUAAUUCCCUAGCUAUUACAGUAAUAAGUAAACUUCCUUACUUCUUAAAUUCCCACUUUAGAAGUCUAAUAAAACCUUUAGACAAAUCUCAAAUGAAUUUCAUGAAUCACGCAAACAUUAAACAAUCAAAAUAAACCAGUAAUCAUGUAAUAUUCAACACAAUAGUAAAUUAAACACACAGUUCUCCUUUCAUAACAUCAUAAAAUAAAUACUCCUAUUAGUAGUAACCAU
rnacentral:lncRNA from 1 species